GAUGAACGCUGGCGGCAGGCCUAACACAUGCAAGUCGAACGCUUUUCGGACGUUUGAGUAAUUUCUGGGAAACUUCCCGAUGGCGUGUGAUAACUACUGGCAACGGUAGCUAAUUCCGCAUCCCAUCGGAUGUGCCCAGAUGGGAUUAGCUAGUAGGUGGGGUAACGGCUCACCUAGGCGACGCUCCCUAGCUGGUCUGAGAGGAUGACCAGCCACACUGGAACUGCGACACGGUCCAGACUCCUACGGGAGGCAGCAGUGGGGAAUAUUGCACAAUGGGCGCAAGCCUGAUGCAGCCAUGCCGCGUGUAUGAAGAAGGCCUUCGGGUUGUAAAGUACUUUCAGCGAGGAGGCGUGACUCGAAGAAGAAGCACCGGCUAACUCCGUGCCAGCAGCCGCGGUAAUUG
rnacentral:rRNA from 1 species